GUCAGGUUGCACUAUGUUACUGUAAUCGUAAUACAAACUUUUAAGAGAUGAACAGAGUAUUCAUUAGAAUAUGUUUCCUUUCUGUUUCCUGCAGGUGGGAAACAGUGUGCAUUGAAUUUCUGAUUGGAGAGUACCUUAUCUUGAUUAUGAAUACCAGAAUGCAUACAGGAUGAUUCUAUGCACUGAUUUACAUCAAAUAAGACUUCAUCAUCAUUAUUUGACUUACAUCAAAUAAUAAAACUUCACAACUGUUCCCCUCCACUGCACCCAGAUUGCAAUAACUCUUCUACUUGGAGGAAUAGUCAGAAGUCCAGCAUGAAACAGGGAAGAUCAGAUAGUUUCAUACCUAUGGGUAUGGCCCUGCUCUGGGCCCCAGCCUUUGAUCUUAGUCAUCAGCUUGUGAACAUCCACAGGAAAAAUGAAUGUGUAGAAAAAAGGAAAGCCAUUACAGCUAAAGCCCAAGUGACAGAUAUUCUUGUAAUGAAACAAAAAUUGAGAGACUUUACUGGAUUUUAGAAGUGCUGAAAGUGAAUAUUUGAAGUUAAAUUCCUUGCUAAUAUAACUCCAAAGGAUUUAGUGGACUUUUGCAGAUAAUUUGUUUCUUAAUCUACAUAAGCGCUUUCAGUAGGAAUGGAACUAAACCACUAAAAAAUAAUAAAACAUUUUUAAUACCUGAAAAAUUUGCUUAU
rnacentral:lncRNA from 1 species